rnacentral:rRNA from 1 species
GACGAACGCUGGCGGCGUGCUUAACACAUGCAAGUCGAGCGGUAAGGCCCUUUCGGGGGUACACGAGCGGCGAACGGGUGAGUAACACGUGGGUGACCUGCCCUUAGCUCUGGGAUAAGCCUGGGGAAACUGGGUCUAAUACCGGAUAUGACUCCAUAACGCAUGUUGUGGGGUGGAAAGCCUUGUGCGGCUAGGGAUGGGCCCGCGGCCUAUCAGCUUGUUGGUGGGGUGAUGGCCUACCAAGGCGACGACGGGUAGCCGGCCUGAGAGGGCGACCGGCCACACUGGGACUGAGACACGGCCCAGACCCCU